AUUGAACGCUGGCGGCAGGCCUAACACAUGCAAGUCGAGCGAGCGGCGGACGGGUGAGUAAUGCUUGGGAAUCUGGUUAUGGGGGGGGGUAAACAAGGGAAACUGUUGCUAAAACCGCGUUGCAAAAGAUGAGGCCAAGUGGGGUUAGGGAGUUGGUUAGGUAAAGGCGCACCAAGCCGACGAUCCCUAGCUGGUCUGAGAGGAUGACCAGCCACACUGGGACUGAGACACGGCCCAGACUCCUACGGGAGGCAGCAGUGGGGAAUAUUGCGCAAUGGGGGCAACCUGACGCAGCCAUGCCGCGUGAAUGAAGAAGGCCUUCGGGUUGUAAAGUUCUUUCGGUAGCGAGGCGUUAACUACAGAAGAAGCACCGGCUAACUCCGUGCCAGCAGCCGCGGUAAUUC
rnacentral:rRNA from 1 species